rnacentral:rRNA from 1 species
AGGACUAAGACAUGCUAGUCGUGUGCCUCAGCCAAAACGAGGCACGGCGCACAGCUCAGUAACACGUGGCUAACCUGCCCUUAGGACGAGAAUAACCCCGGGAAACUGGGGCUAAUGCUCGAUAGGUGAAGAACUCUGGAAUGAGUCUUCACUUAAAAGAGUCUGCGUUAUGCUCGUAGAUUUCGCUUAAGGAUGGGGCCGCGACCGAUCAGGUUGUUGGUGAGGUAAUGGCUCACCAAGCCUUUUACCGGUGCGGGCCGUGAGAGCGGGAGCCCGGAGAUGGGCACUGAGACAAGGGCCCAGGCCCUACGGGGCGCAGCAGUCGCGAAAACUUUGCAAUACACGAAAGUGUGACAGGGCUAUCCCGAGUGCCAUCCGCUGAGGAAGGCUUUUACCCAGUCUAGAACGCUGGGGGAAUAAGGAGAGGGCAAGUCUGGUGUCAGCCGCCGCGGUAAUACCAGCUCUCCGAGUGGUGUGGAUGUUUAUUGGGCCUAAAGCAUCCGUAGCUGGCUAAGUUAGUCCCCUGUUAAAUCCAACGAAUUAAUCGUUGGAUCGCGGGGGAUACUGCUUGGCUAGGGGACGAGAGAGGCAGGCGGUAUUUCCGGGGUGGGGGUGAAAUCCUAUAAUCCCGGGAAGACCACCAGUGGCGAAGGCUGUCUGCUAGAACGCGCCCGACGGUGAGGGAUGAAAGCUGGGGGAGCGAACCGGAUUAGAUACCCGGGUAGUCCCAGCUGUAAACGAUGCAGGCUAGGUGUUUGGACGGCCACGUGCCGUUCUAGUGCCGCAGGGAAGCUGUUAAGCCUGCCGCCUGGGGAGUACGAUCGCAAGAUUGAAACUUAAAGGAAUUGGCGGGGGAGCACCACAAGGGGUGAAGCUUGCGGUUUAAUUGGAUUCAACGCCGGA